UGCAGAAAUUUACAAUUCCUAACAUAUUUCUUAGGUGCAGAAAUUUUAUAAGUGGAAGUUGCUUUGUAAAAAUGUCAGCUAGCUGCUCAUUUGUAUUGCAGUAUGUGAUCUUGAUUGCUCCUUGUGUCACCAAUUCUCUCACAAAAUGAUGCCGAGUUUCUAUAUGUCUUGUACGACUAUGAUGGACAGGAUUUUUAGUCAUGGCAAUUGUAGAUUGAUUGUCGCAAUAGAUGUUUGUAGCCUCCACUUGUGUCAGUUUCAUAUCUUCCAUGAUCUGACGUAACCAAAUUGCUUGACAAGCUGCUGAAGUUACUGCCAUAUAUUUAGCCUCUGAUGAAGACAAUGCUGUAGAUGGUUGCUUCUUUGAAUUCCAGCAAAUGACACCUGACCCAAGAUUAAAGGUAUAGCCUGUGGUACUCUUUCUGUCAUCAAUGCAACUUGCCCAAUCACUAUCAGAAAAUCCACAUAACUUCAGAUUGUUAGUGUUUGAAUACCAAAUGCCAUAGGAACUUGUUCCUCUCAAGUAUCUUAAUAUACAUGAAUCUUGAUAAAAGGCUAGUAGCAUGCAUUAUAUUGGGUCGAUUGUGUGUAACAUAUAGUAAACUUCCUAUCAGACUUCGAUAAUCACCAGCAUUUACUUUCUCUUCCCCAUCAUCAAGAUUGAAUUUUUGGUUAGCGUUUGUUGGAGUCUUCACCGGAUUGCAAUUUUGCAGUUGAAACCUUUUAAGAAGAUCAUUCACAUACUUGUGAAAUAAAAAUUCCAUCAUCGCAUUGCUUUACUUCUAGC
rnacentral:misc_RNA from 1 species